rnacentral:rRNA from 1 species
AUACGGAGGGUGCAAGCGUUACUCGGAAUCACUGGGCGUAAAGCGCGCGCAGGCGGGCUGAUAAGUUGGAUUUGAAAGCCUACGGCUCAACCGUAGAACUGCAUCCAAAACUGUCAGUCUAGAGUGUGGGAGAGGAAGAUGGAAUUAGUUGUGUAUGGGUAAAAUCCGUAGAGAUAACUAGGAAUACCAAAAGCGAAGGCAAUCUUCUGGAACACUUCUGACGCUGAGGCGCGAAGGCGUGGGGAGCAAACAGGAUUAGAAACCCCAGUAGUCC